rnacentral:tRNA from 2 species
UGGGGGAUCGUCUAGUGGCAGGACAGUGGGCUCUGAAUCCAUUAACCGAGGUUCGAAUCCUCGUCCCCCAGCCA